GUAGGUGAACCUGCGGAAGGAUCAUUAAAGAGUCUAGAGACUUAGGUCUACUACUCCACCCUUUGUUUACAAACCAUUGUUGCUUUGGCGGGCCCGUCGCAAGACAACCGGCUCCGGCUGGUCAGCGCCCGCCAGAGGACCUAAAACUCAUGUUUAUAUUAUUGUCUGAGUACUAUAUAAUAGUUAAAACUUUCAACAACGGAUCUCUUGGUUCUGGCAUCGAUGAAGAACGCAGCAUCUGACUGACUGA
rnacentral:misc_RNA from 1 species